CUCUCGCCAUUGCUCUCUGGCGUUUUCUCUCUUCCACCAAACAAAAUAUAACCGAAAGGAAUCACACAAAAAAGAAUAAUAAACAAAACAAAAAGAACUCUCUUUUUCUCCUAUCUCAAACUCUUUUUUUUCCCACCAUGAACGUGAGUGGAGGCUCUCUCUCUACCCAGAGAGCCUACCCUUGAAAAGAACCUAUCAACUACACUAAACCAAAAAAAAAACCUAGGAGUCCUCGAAAGUCUCAUUCUUUAACUUGAAUCUCCAUCUGGGUCUUCGUUAACUUCCUUAAAAAAUUCGACUUUUGUUUUCACUGUUUGAGCUAUGAUGGUCCACACGAUGCACAGAGAGUCGCCGGAUAAAGGGUUGGAUUCCGGCAAGUAUGUGAGGUACACGCCGGAGCAAGUUGAAGCUCUUGAGAGAGUUUACACUGAGUGUCCUAAGCCUAGCUCUCUCAGAAGACAGCAACUCAUUAGAGAGUGUCCCAUUCUCUCCAACAUCGAGCCCAAACAGAUCAAAGUUUGGUUUCAGAACCGCAGAUGCCGAGAGAAGCAGAGGAAAGAAGCAGCUCGUCUCCAAACAGUCAACAGAAAGCUUAACGCCAUGAACAAACUCUUGAUGGAAGAGAAUGAUCGUCUCCAGAAGCAAGUUUCCCACUUGGUCUACGAGAAUGGUCACAUGAAACACCAACUCCACACUGCUUCUGGGACGACCACAGACAACAGCUGUGAGUCUGUGGUCGUAAGUGGUCAGCAACAUCAACAGCAAAACUCUAAUCAUCCUCAGCAUCUGCAACGUGAUGCUAACAACCCAGCUGGUCUCCUUUCGAUAGCAGAGGAGGCCCUCGCAGAGUUCCUUUCCAAGGCUACAGGAACUGCUGUUGACUGGGUUCAGAUGAUUGGUAUGAAGCCUGGUCCGGAUUCUAUUGGCAUAGUCUCUAUUUCGCGCAACUGCAGCGGAAUUGCAGCACGUGCCUGCGGCCUCGUGAGUUUAGAACCCAUGAAGGUUGCCGAAAUCCUCAAAGAUCGUCAAUCUUGGCUCCGUGAUUGUCGAUGUGUGGAUACUCUGAGUGUGAUUCCUGCUGGAAACGGUGGAACUAUCGAGCUUAUAUACACGCAGAUGUAUGCUCCAACGAUACUAGCAGCAGCUCGUGACUUUUGGACGCUGAGAUACAGCACAUGUUUAGAAGAUGGUAGCUAUGUGGUUUGUGAAAGGUCGCUUACUUCUACAACUGGUGGCCCCAAUGGACCACCUUCUUCAAGCUUUGUGAGAGCUGAAAUGCGACCAAGCGGGUUUCUCAUCCGUCCUUGCGAUGGUGGUGGUUCCAUUGUCCACAUUGUUGACCAUGUUGAUUUGGAUGCUUGGAGUGUCCCUGAAGUCAUGAGGCCUCUCUAUGAAUCUUCAAAGAUUCUUGCUCAGAAAAUGACCGUUGCUGCUCUGAGGCAUGUAAGGCAAAUUGCACAAGAGACAAGUGGAGAAGUUCAGUACGGUGGAGGGCGGCAACCUGCGGUCUUAAGAACCUUCAGUCAAAAACUCUGUCGUGGAUUCAAUGAUGCUGUCAAUGGUUUUGUGGAUGAUGGAUGGUCACCAUUGGGUAGUAAUGACGGUGCAGAGGAUAUUAGUGUUAUGAUAAACUUGUCUCCUGGGAAGUUUGGUGGGCCGUCUCACUACGGUAGCUCAUUCCUCCCAAGCUUUGGUAGUGGUGUUCUUUGUGCUAAGGCAUCUAUGCUAUUGGAGAACGUUCCAUCUGCUGUGCUGGUUAGAUUCCUUAGAGAACACCGCUCUGAGUGGGCUGAUUAUGGUGUGGAUGCUUAUGCUGCUGCAUCCCUCAGAGCUAGUCCUUUUGCUGUUCCUUGCGCUAGAGCUGGUGGGUUCCCGAGUAACCAAGUCAUUCUCCCAUUAGCACAGACAGUUGAACAUGAAGAGUUUCUUGAAGUGGUUAGACUUGAAGGUCAUGCUUACUCACCUGAAGACAUGGGUUUAGCUCGUGAUAUGUACUUGCUUCAGCUUUGUAGUGGUGUUGAUGAAAAUGUGGUUGGAGGUUGUGCACAGCUUGUCUUUGCUCCUAUUGAUGAGUCAUUUGCUGAUGAUGCACCUUUGCUUCCUUCUGGUUUCCGCGUCAUACCUCUUGAACAUAAAUCAACCCCGAACGGUGCAUCUGCAAACCGUACGUUGGAUUUAGCAUCGGCCUUAGAAGGAUCAACACGUCAAGGAAGUGAAGCUGACACAAACGGUUGUAACUUUAGGUCGGUAGUGACCAUAGCAUUCCAGUUCACGUUUGAUAACCACACUAGAGACAAUGUUGCUUCAAUGGCACGUCAGUACGUGAGAAGCAUAGUGGGAUCUAUUCAGAGGGUUGCUCUAGCCAUUGCUCCUCGUCCUGGUUCUAGUAUCAGUCCAGUAUCUGCUCCCACUUCCCCUGAAGCUCUCACUCUCGUCCGUUGGAUCUCAAGGAGUUACAGGGUUCACACUGGUGCAGAUCUCUUUGGGUCUGAUUCUCAAACCAGUGGUGACACAUUGCUGCGUCAACUCUGGAACCACACUGAUGCAAUCCUGUGCUGCUCGCUCAAAACAAACGCUUCACCGGUUUUCACAUUUGCAAACCAAACCGGUUUAGACAUGCUGGAAACUACUCUUGUAGCUCUUCAAGACAUAAUGCUAGACAAGACCCUCGACGAGUCUGGUCGUAAAGCUCUUUGCUCCGAGUUCCCCAAGAUCAUGCAACAGGGAUAUGCUCAUCUUCCUGCGGGUGUGUGUGCAUCAAGCAUGGGGAGAUUGGUAUCUUACGAGCAGGCAACAGUGUGGAAAGUUCUUGAAGACGAUGAGUCAAACCAUUGCUUAGCAUUCAUGUUCGUGAAUUGGUCGUUCGUUUGAAGAGAAGAGUAAGGAAGACCAGGUUACUUCCUUCCCAUGGAAGGUUAUUAUGUAAGAUGUUAAAGUUAGGGUGCUAUUAUGCUAAACAGUGUUUUGAAAUUCAGGGACUAAUAUGUAAUAUGACUUAUUUAUGAUCCUUUAUGGAUUGUUUCUUGUUCGUAUGUUAUGGCCGGAUAUUAUUAUUACGAUGUUAUUAAGUCU